UACGAAGGGUGCAAACGUUGCUCGGAAUUAUUGGGCGUAAAGCGCACGUAGGCGGCCUGGCAAGUGACGGGUGAAAGCCCUCGGCUUAACCGAGGAACUGCCUGUCAGACUGUUAGGCUUGAGACCGGGAGAGGUGAGUGGAAUUCCCAGUGUAGCGGUGAAAUGCGUAGAUAUUGGGAGGAACACCAGUGGCGAAGGCGGCUCACUGGACCGGUACUGACGCUGAGGCGCGAAAGCGUGGGGAGCAAACAGG
rnacentral:rRNA from 1 species